UCAAUCUUUCCCAGCAUCAGGGUCUUUUCCAGUGAGUCACUCUUCACAUCAGGUGGCCAAAGUAUUGGAGUUUCAGCUUCAGCAUCAGUCCUUCCAAUGAAUAUUCUGGACUGAUUUCCUUUAGGAUGGACUGGUUGGAUCUCUUUGC